AAACUUUCAACAACGGAUCUCUUGGUUCUGGCAUCGAUGAAGAACGCAGCGAAAUGCGAUAAGUAAUGUGAAUUGCAGAAUUCAGUGAAUCAUCGAAUCUUUGAACGCACAUUGCGCCCAUUAGUAUUCUAGUGGGCAUGCCUGUUCGAGCGUCAUUAAGUCCAUAAGGCCCCCGCCUUGCGUUGGGCGCCUGCGGUCCCCGCAGCGCCUCAAA
rnacentral:rRNA from 1 species